AUUGAACGCUGGCGGUAUGCUUUACACAUGCAAGUCGAACGGUAACAGGUCUUCGGAUGCUGACGAGUGGCGAACGGGUGAGUAAUGUAUCGGAACGUGCCUAGUAAUGGGGGAUAACCACUCGAAAGAGUGACUAAUACCGCAUAAUAUCUCAGGAUGAAAGCGGGGGAUCGCAAGACCUCGCGUUAUUAGAGCGGCCGAUAUCAGAUUAGGUAGUUGGUGGGAUAAAAGCCUACCAAGCCAACGAUCUGUAGCUGGUCUGAGAGGACGACCAGCCACACUGGGACUGAGACACGGCCCAGACUCCUACGGGAGGCAGCAGUGGGGAAUUUUGGACAAUGGGCGAAAGCCUGAUCCAGCAAUACCGCGUGCAGGACGAAGGCCUUCGGGUUGUAACUAGCUUUUGUACGGUAACGAAACGGUACGUAGAGUUAAUUAACUACUGUAACUAAACUUAGUACGGUACCGGUAACGGUAAAGUAAAGUACGACCGGACCGUAACCUAACCGUACGUCCGACGACGACGCCGCCGGUAACGUAACUUCG
rnacentral:rRNA from 1 species